rnacentral:rRNA from 1 species
UGGGGAAUAUUGCGCAAUGGACGAAAGUCUGACGCAGCGACGCCGCGUGUGGGAUGAAGCCUUUCGGGGUGUAAACCACUGUUGCCCGGGACGAAACUCCUUUUUCGAGAGGAUUGACGGUACCGGGUGAGGAAGCACCGGCUAACUCUGUGCCAGCAGCCGCGGUAAUACAGAGGGUGCGAGCGUUGUCCGGAAUCACUGGGCGUAAAGGGCGCGUAGGUGGCUUGGUAAGCGUGUGGUGAAAGCCCGGGGCUCAACCCCGGGUCUGCCGUGCGAACUGCCUGGCUUGAGCGUAGUAGAGGCAGGUGGAAUUUCGGGUGUAGCGGUGGAAUGCGUAGAGAUCCGAAAGAACACCGGUGGCGAAGGCGGCCUGCUGGGCUACUGCUGACACUGAGGCGCGACAGCGUGGGGAGCAAACAGG